rnacentral:rRNA from 1 species
UAACGCGUGGGAAUCUGCCCUCAGGUGGGGAAUAACGACGGGAAACUGUCGCUAAUACCGCAUACGCCCUCCGGGGGAAAGAUUUAUCGCUGAUAGAUGAGCCCGCGUACGAUUAGCUAGUUGGUGAGGUAAUGGCUCACCAAGGCUACGAUCGUUAGCUGGUCUGAGAGGAUGAUCAGCCACACUGGGACUGAGACACGGCCCAGACUCCUACGGGAGGCAGCAGUGGGGAAUAUUGGACAAUGGGCGAAAGCCUGAUCCAGCAAUGCCGCGUGAGUGAUGAAGGCCUUAGGGUUGU